AUGGGGCAAAGCACAGUUAAUCCUAUUUGGAGUAAGAUAUGGAAGUUAUCGUGUCCGGCAAAAGUCAAAUUUAUAUGGCGUACAUUACAUGGAACGCUUCCAUGUCGGGUUACGCUCGCAAAUAGACAUAUGAAGGUCACACCCAUUUGCCCUACUUGCUCUGAGGGUUCUGAAGAUACAAAGCAUAUGCUUUUCCUUUGCAGUAGAGCAAAGGAGGCUUGGACAAGGCUGGGGAUGGAUGAUAUCAUUGAUAAAGCUUGCAAGGUUGACCUUGCUGGAGAGGCGGUGCUGGAAUACCUACUACUUCUGCCAGACCAAGAUUUGAGGAUAAUGGGUCAUCACAAUGUGCGUGAAAUGAUUGAUGUUUCAACAUGGUAUCUAUGGUGGGAAAGA
rnacentral:rRNA from 1 species